GUGUGUGCAUGUGAAUGCGUGCGUGUGUGGGUGUUUGGAAAGAAGGGUGCCGCUGGUGGUGGUCGUUGUUGAUGCAUGGUCGAGCUUUAAUCCCACCCAAGGGCCUUGCGUGAGGGGAACCAUAACCGCACCGCCUGACCAAGUGCCUCCACCCGUGACAUUGUGAUGGAUAGGCUAGCCUGGCUGCCUUCACCAUUGAGCUUAGCGUCCUCCAGGCAACUCUUUCCAUUAAUUGUGAUUAGUAGAAACACAUUACUGUCACUUUAACUAGACUGCAUAACAGCCCUGUUUGAGUUAGCCCGGUAUCACUUGGUCUCAUUUUGUCAUUCUUAUGCCCACAGUCUUUAAGUAGGAUAAUACUCGGCUUUUAAAUGUAAAUACAUUGUUUUUGUUCGCUGAAGCUCUUGUUAUUCUAGAUAAAUCCAUCCAUUUAAACUGGGUCGUUUCUUUGAAAAAGAAAUACAGGCAGUUAACAAAACGUUGCAGUAAUGGUUUCUUAAAACCAUACAAAGAAUGUUAUUACAUAUAAAAUAAUAGCCUCCCAUUAACACACUUCACACAUUCCCUGCAGGGGUACAGUAUAUUGUUGGAGGCAGUGGGACAUUUUGGCCGACCAAAAUAAACGUAACACUGGUGUAGGAUUAGCAACACAAACAUCUAUGUUAAGCCACGUAGGCCGCACGUACGUGCAAAUAAAUCCAAACAGGCAGACAUACAGACUCAUAUUCCACCAGCGGUGUCACAGCGUUGACAGACCCAUGAUAAGGGGUCCUCAGAGCUGCGAGGCACAUGACUCAGCCCCUAUCACGUCACUCUGUCUCUGGCUGGAUAGCUGCCUGCGCUCUGGGCUGGGACACGGCAGUUGGCACGCUCAAAGCUCAGGGACAAACAGGCAUGCUGUAACCUGAAGCAGCCCCUGUGGGAACAGGUGCCCUGCAUCGGGUGCCAUGGAGCAACGGGCCGGGGGGGCUGACGGUUCUGCCCCGGUCAGGGUGAAGACAGUGCGCUGUCUUUUCCAGGUCUACAGGUCUGCGGUGCUGCACACUAGGCAAGGAGAUGCUGCAGACAGGAAGGCAAGGCUGUGAUCUGUAUGUCUGUUUGUUGCUGACUGCUGCAGAAAACCAAUAAACCUUGUCUCCUAUA
ensembl:lncRNA